rnacentral:rRNA from 1 species
CCUACGGGGGGCAGCAGUGGGGAAUAUUGCACAAUGGAGGGAACUCUGAUGCAGCGACGCCGCGUGAGUGAAGAAGUAAUUCGUUAUGUAAAGCUCUAUCAGCAGGGAAGAAAGUGACGGUACCUGAAAAAGAAGCUCCGGCUAAAUACGUGCCAGCAGCCGCGGUAAUACGUAUGGAGCAAGCGUUAUCCGGAUUUACUGGGUGUAAAGGGAGAGUAGGUGGCAGAGCAAGUCCGAAGUGAAAACCCAAAGCUCAACUAUGGGAAUGCUUUAGAAACUGCUCAGCUAGAGUGCAGGAGAGGCAAGUGGAAUUCUUAGUGUAGCGGUGAAAUGCGUAGAUAUUAGGAGGAACACCAGUGGCGAAGGCGGCUUGCUGGACUGUAACUGACACUGAGGCUCGAAAGCGUGGGGAGCAAACAGGAUUAGAUACCC